CUGGGUUAUUUUCCUUCUUGAGAGCUUCUCCUGUACCUGCAGUUUCUCACGAUAAUCAGCUCACAAUAGUCCUUAUGCCAAAGAGGCAUGUGUGGAGGUGCCAUAUUCUGGUCUCCUACAACAUUCAGUAAUGGUCAAGAUGGUUGAUGCAGGAAACAGAUGGAGGGGCAGAAGUUGAUACUCAUCUCAUUAGAUCCAAAGAAGCCAAAUGGUGGCCAUCACCUGUGACAUGAAGAGGGUAUAUUUUAUGGAACUGGACAGCUUUCAGAAUCACAAGCAACCUCUUCAAAAUGUGAUCUACUGAAACGUGCUUGAAAGAGAGAAUAGGAGUGAGGCGGGCAAAGGAAGCAGAAGCCAUUGUGAACUGCCCUAGAGAAACCUUGGGCAUCUUUUUGUUGGGCAAAGUGGUAGAGGCUGAAACGGGGAAUAGCAUGUAACAUUUUAUUUGACUGAAAUAAACAGCUGUUUGUUUUUUUUUUCUUUCAUAUGUAAGAUAGACAAAAGGUGUUUGACAGAUAAGGAUUGGGGCAAUGUUGGUAUGAGUUCAGCUUUUUAGUUUGUUCUUUAAAAGUGGCCAUCAAGAUGUGGGUGUAAGGUAUUUCACAGUGAUUUGCAUUCAUUCUCAUUGCUGUCACCAUCAAGGCCCAGUUACUCAAUAUCCAAGUUUGUUUUUGUUGUAAUUCAAACAAAAUAAAUACAAGUAGCAGGGCUUUCCAUCCUUCCUGGGAAUAUUGUGUGGGUGCAUCUCAGUGAAUGCCAACUGCUUUCAAAUAAAAUGUGCCAUCUGAAGGAGCACAGUUUCCACUCCAGACCUGCAUGUACAAGACGCAAAACAAGGCACUAGCUGGCUUAGGGGAGUCAUGCCUGAGAGAACGAGUUGUAUAUAAAACUCUGCUGAGGCUGAAAAUAGCACAGAUAUGAAAGACAGAAGCAAAAGAUAUCGGGUGUCCUAAAGUGCCAGAUGCCCAGGUCACUUAAAAGUGGAUGACUCAGAGUCACACAGAGUAGCAGCAUGCUGGGAUCUUUGAGGAAAGCUGACCAACCACAGAGAAGGAAAGGCAAAGUGAUUCCGCAGAGAAUUGAACCAAAUACAAAUUUGCCUUUGUUUUUCAUCCCACAGAAUUUCCUCUUCACCCAUGAGGUUUAUAGCUAUUUUCACAUGACCAUCCACUGAAAGGAAAAUAAAUCUGAUCCUGUCCCAUCUACUCGAAAUGCCUUGUCCUUAGGCCACUCAGCUUGAUCCUCGUAAUAAAAUCACAUAGAAUGGAAUACAUUUUAAGGCAAAAAUGUGUAUGGCUAAUUAGGAUAUUUAUGUAUUGAUAAGAUAAAGAUAGAUGAGAUGCUGGGAGAAUAAAAUAAUUAUAAAUCUUACAACAUCAUGUCAAAGUAUAUGGUAUAUGGUCAAAGUAUAUGGUAUAAAACUACAAAACUGCUAGAAAAAAAUUACAAAAUUAUGAGAGAACUUGCACCUCUUUCAAUCAUGGGUAGAAAAGGCAGCAAAAAAGUUAAUGGGAAUUUAGAAGAUUUAGGCAACAUAAUAAUGUUGAUUUGGUACAUGUAUAAGCCUGAAACUAACAGAUGAUAUAAAACCUUAUGGAUGCCACUGAACUGUGAAAUGUACACAUAAAAAUGCUUAACAUAGCACAUUUUAUUAUAUAUAUCUAUAUAUUUUAUCACUGUAGGGGAUAAAAAAAUAUUUUUUUCUCAGUGAUUGCUAGGUUUAUGCCUGAGGCCUCCCUAAUAACGGAAAGAUUAACAAGAGAUAAACACACAAAUUUGUUUAAUAAAAGUUUCAUUGGAUAUAGGAACCUUCACAAGAAAAUGAAGAUCCAAAGAAACAGGUAAACCUGUAUGCUUUUACAGGUUUACAGGGUGGCCGGCGCCUGCCCUCAGAAUGUUUGGAAACUAAGAAACAUACAUAAAAUAAUUCAAAAAAAAUUUAAAAAAAAAGGGAAAAAAGGAAAAAGAAAUCACAAGAAAUAUUAGAAAAUAUUUAGAAGAAAAUGUAAAUUCCAAGGGAAUAUUUGUGAAAUAUACAUAAAUCAUUCAAUAGAGGGAAUUUUAUAGCCUUAAAAUACAUGCACGAAGAAAUAAAUCUUUCCUGGAUUUCUUUUAUUCCUGCAAAAUUCUGGUUCCCUGAACCACUGAAAUGGAUAUAAUAUGAAGCUAGAGAAUGUUUUCCUUUCCCCCCAAAUAUUUUACUUUUUGCACGUCUUGAGUAUUAAACUGCGGUUAUUUGUCUUCUUUUAGUUGGAACUAAUUCCCUUCCAUCUAAAGGAAAACAAAAGUGUUUUUUUAAUUAAAAAAUUUUAAUUUAUUUUUCUUCU
rnacentral:lncRNA from 1 species